GAAUCUUGGUUCCUUCGGUUUUCAAUUGAUUUAGAAACACACGAAGACACCAAGAAAGGGAGAUGUAGGAGGUGUGUUAGUUUCAAUGGGGUUUAGGAGAAGAGACGUAGUAAUAGCCAAUUUGCAGCCACAGGUUUCAUUUUUUCAUGCAAAUUUGUUUACCAUUUGGUCCUCAAAUCCUUACAUUCAAAUGGCUAUUUGACUAAGGUAAUGACACAAGAGUAUAAGUCGGCGGACUUGACGAGAGAUUUUGGAUUAUAGAUCAGUAGUUGAAUAACUAUUGUAAGGUCUAUAUUAUGUUGUUUAUGCUUUUGGUCUGUAACGAACAUGACAUCCCGAUGUUUUAUUAUUUAAUAAAAAUACAUUCUUUUCGAGAAA